rnacentral:rRNA from 1 species
ACGCUCGACACCUACUGGAGGCAGCAGUCGGGAAUAUUGCGCAAUGGAGGAAACUCUGACGCAGUGACGCCGCGUAUGGGAAGAAGGUUUUCGGAUUGUAAACCAUUUUAGACAAGGAAGAAACAAGACAGUACUUGUAGAAUAAGCUCCGGCUAACUACGUGCCAGCACGCCGGACGGUAAUCUGGAGGCGGGCUGGACGAACGGC